GAUAUUGUUUUCAAUUUGUUUAAAUAUGGGAGAUAAGAUCUUAUAUGAGAAUAUAAGCUAUUUUUUAGGAAUUUUUAUAACUGAUAAUUUUCAAAGUAAGAACAUUGUUUGGGCUUUGUUGCUGUUUGGUCAUCGGAAACUUCACCCGAGUGUGGGGGAUGAGCAGACCUGGCGUUAAGUAGUGAGAUCUAAUUCAGGAGUCACAGCAUCCACACAUUCAAUUCAUUGAUUUUAAGUGAUGAUCCUGCCUACGGGAAACAGCAUUUGGUUUAGCAUCUAAAGAAAACUGAAGUUCUAGAAUAUUUACUGCCAUUUUGAAAACUGUCCUCACCUGUUCGAUGACAUAAAAGGCAAAUUCCAACCGCUGUUUCUGGAGCAUGGGGAUCAGGUGCAGGAAAAAAAUUGGAAGAUGUUCAUGGCGGUUACGGAAGGGGAUGAGAACUGCCACCUUCAAAACAAAACAGAACACCUG